rnacentral:tRNA from 1 species
AAAUAAGAAGCGAUAACUUGCAAUCAGUUUCGACCUGACCCUAGGUAACUAUACCCUUAUUUA